AUGCCGGCCAAGUACCUGCAGGCGUUCGAGAGGAGAGGCGACCGGAGUUGCACCGGCGUCGACUGCGCGUGCCGCAUCCUCACCGGAAACGUGCCCUUCGGCCUCCCCAUCAGCCGCACCCUCGUCAUUUCCCUCCCCAAGGUCUGCAAGUCCCUCUCCGUCCAGCUCAUGUGCAGAGAUACAGCGACGCAAAUCCCAGCUCCCCCCCUCUACGGCCUAUUGCAUUUUGCUCCGGGGAAGCUAAUUAACACUGCACGAAAACCCUUUGCUUAA
rnacentral:rRNA from 1 species